AAGUCGUAAUAAGGUUUCUGUAGGUGAACCUAUGGAAGGAUUAUUAUCCAACCAAAACCAGCUGUAGUCGCGGCCCCCCAAGGAUCUUACCUUGGGGUGGUAGGGGUAACACCCUUAUGCGCCGCACGUCUGCAUCCUUUCUUUACAAGCACCUUCGUUCUCCUUCGGCGGGGCAACCUGCUGUUGGAACCAAUAAAACCUUUUUUUGCAUCUAGCAUUACCUAUUCUAAUAUAAACAAUCGUUACAACUUUUAAUAAUGAAUCUCUUGGCUCUG
rnacentral:misc_RNA from 1 species